AAUCGGGUUGUACUGGUCUGCUUUCUGGCCCUUCCCACCAGCCGGGAAGCCUGGAUCGCGGGCUGGGGGAAGCCGGAGCUGCUCCCACCUGGCUCCCACUGCCCCUAGCCACUAGGUACCUGCUCUGGGCCCUGGAUCCUUUAAAUCAGACAGCAAAACGCUGGAAGAUUGCAUCCUGGUGUGGGAACAGUCUUGCAGGGGAAAACAAAACCAAAAAAAUAGAUCCAAAUCACCGUAAAGCAAAUUACUUCUCUCCAUGUUCCCUUCUGAGUUGUACAGCAGAGAGUGACUGCCCCACCGAUCAUCCGUGCACCGCUCCUCCACCCUCCCUUCCCACAGCCCCUGGCAACCACUGAUCUCGAUACUGUCUGUAGAGCUUUGCCUUUU